GCAGGGUUACAUCGGUAAAACAUUAGUUUGGAAAUACUAAAAAUGAAGGUUCGAAUCCUUCUCUGCCCA
rnacentral:tRNA from 1 species